rnacentral:sRNA from 1 species
CCUGAGUGCAAGACUCUCCUGAAGAAGGGGCUUCUAAAAGGCCAGCCCACGCAUCUUGUUCAGACUGGGCUGCUCCAUCCCCGCUAAGCCCAGGGAUCCACUUGUGUGUCUUUCUGGGAUCAUUGUCUUUAGUGGCAGCCUGGGCCUCAGGGAAGGAAGGGCAUGAGGAGUGGCCCCGGCUGGGAUGUCAGGGGCCCAGGAAAACUCCUGUGUCUACCAAGAAAUUGCCCCCUCUAUUCAGAGGCUGCCUUGUCCUAGGUAUCUGAUGUCCCGCCCUUGCGGUUUCCAAAUCCAGAUGUAGGUCUGGCUCCUAUUAGGCUACCAUUUCUUUGUGGGAAGACAGUUAUGAAAUUGCAGCAUUGCUAAGUCUCUUAAUGUGAAUUGUCAGAGCCCCUUCAGACCAGUGGCUGGGGCCAGGCACGAGAGGCAGGUGGUAAGGGCAAGAGGAGCAGCCCCUGUGCAGUUGGGCAGGCUGGAAGGGUUGGUGAAAGGAGCUGAAAACACCCCAGAUUUCCCAAAUGGGCUUGAAGAGAUCCCAGCCCUGAGGCACCUCCCACUCAAGCCAGAGAUGAGCUUUUCCCAAAAUCCAAGUCCAUGAGGCUCUCACUCAAUGUGGGCUCCUGAUGCUGAGGGGACAUCCUGACACUCCUGUGUUCUCUCCUGCAGAACUUCGUCGCGACAUUUCUCAGAAGCCAUGACAUGUCCCUGCAGCUGGAGGCCUUUCAAGGGUGGCCCAGGAGGCCUCAAGGGCCUGGUGUGGCCUGCAAAGGAAGAGAACAGCUGUUCUCACGGAAGGAUCCAAAGGGUUCAAAGGCGAAGGGUGCCAUCUGCUUCCCCACUGAUUCAGAAGAUAAAGAGGAGAAGUGUCCUGUUUCACCCAUAUUGCUGGUCCUGAUUUUUCAAUAGUGUCCCUACCCUGAAGCUCUUCCAUUGGCCAUCAUGGAGUUAGCUAACAGCCCAGGGAACUGGUCUCUUUUCCUUUUCCCCUUACCACCUGGAACUCAACUGGAAAGGGCAAUCAGCUGGCUCUAUAUCAGACGCCACCACCUGGUCUUUGAAGUUUCUGUCCUACCGGUGCCACAGCUCCCUCUCCCACUUCUGAACUACCUCCAAGAGAGACCAUCCUCAGCAGCCUAGCAUGUUAUGCUAGUCCUGGAAUGCUGUAUUCUGGAUGUCUACUCAAGGCCAAACCCCAAUAUUGCCUUUUGUUUCCCUAUUCAAGGCCAAGGCUAGGCUCUUUUCAUUGUCUCCAUUUCUCUUUCUCCAGAGCUCCUAUAGGGCAAGACACUGUUUCUCAUAUAUUUCUGGAUCCUUGGAGCUUAGCUUGGAGCUUGGCAUACAUGCCCAGCAUGAACUUUUCUGAAUAAAAUAAUUUCAAAUCCUGUA